rnacentral:rRNA from 1 species
GACGUAGGAGACGAGCGUUGUCCGGAUUUACUGGGCGUAAAGCGCGCGCAGGCGGCCCCGCAGGUCGGUUGUGAAAGCCCCCGGCUCAACCGGGCGGAGGCGAGCGAAACCGCGGGGCUGGAGGCUGGCAGAGGGUGGUGGAAUUCCCGGUGUAGUGGUGAAAUGCGUAGAGAUCGGGAGGAACACCCGCGGCGAAGGCGGCCACCUGGACCAGGCCUGACGCUGAGGCGCGAAGGCCGGGGGAGCGAACGGG